rnacentral:lncRNA from 1 species
AUGGGGGCCUGGGGGCAGCAGCACGUUACCCAGCGGCAAGUCCCCACCCCUGGCCACACAGCCCGGAAAGAGAGAGCCUUUACCCAAGGACCAGAGGUGCACUCUCCACAGGGCAGGGGUGGCUCGGUCUCACCCGGGCGGGCGGGGCAGCGAGAGAUGACGGCCCGGAGCUGCCAGGGGGACACAGGCUCCCCAGGCGCAGGCGACCUCUCCACCCAGCGGCCGGGCAGCGCUAGUGCAGGGGCGCAGAGCCAGGUCCCGCAGCUCCAGCAGCCAAAGAGCCACCCCCAGCCCAGCCAGGACACGAAGCCAGGAUCAGCUCCAGGCAUUUCCCCUUCCCCUAGAACCUCCGCUCUGGCCCCCAGGGACAAGGCAGGAUGCCCCUCCCUGACCAGCCGUGUGCAGCGCCUUGCUCGGCAUCGCUCAGCCAGGGCUUCGUUCCCAGAGCUAUCCUCACCCUCCCAAGGGCCUCUGAAGACAAAUUCCAGGGCCCAGAACCCAACCAGGAUGGAGAAAGUGACUUUAGACCUGACCUUCAGGCUCCAUCAGAGCUCCAUCACCGGGGCAGAGUCCCACUGCCAUCCCCUGCCCUUUAAGCCCCAGACGCAAGCAGAGGGACAUACCCAGGACCACCAUACACAGCCAGAGGGACGGCCUCUCACCGGUAACAGAACACACCCCUCACCGCUGGACACGAGUGGCCAAAGGCACAUGAGGCCACAAACACCAACGACGACGCCUGGGCACCACACCUCCAGCUACAACAGCCCAGGAGCCCCCCUGGUGGGAACUAGGCCAGGGGUGAAGAAGAGGGACUCUAUCAAAACUGCUUCGCACAUACGCGUUCCUGCUGAGCCGCCACCCCCCCUUCCCCCCCCCCCACACACACACACGGAGGAAACUGAGUUUGCUCUGGAAGGCCUGGGAGCCUGCUGGGGUGGCCAGAGACCAGGGAUAUGCCAGCCCUUGGGAGCCGGGAGCCUGGAUAAAGCCCACGGGGGACAGAGAGCAAAAGGCCUGGGACAUUGGCCACCCCCACCAUCUACUGAAAUCCGCCCAUUGUAA